GAUGAAGAACGUAGCGAAAUGCGAUACUUGGUGUGAAUUGCAGAAUCCCGUGAACCAUCGAGUCUUUGAACGCAAGUUGCGCCUCAAGCCAUUAGGUUGAGGGCACGUCUGCCUGGGCGUCACAUAUCGUUGCCUGAUGCCAGUUUCCUCGUGAUGGGUGACUGUGCAGGGCGAAUGAUGGCUUCCCGUGAGCAUUGUUGCCUCAUGGUUGGUUGAAAAUUGAGUCCUUGGUAGGGAGCGCCGUGAUAGAUGGUGGUUGAGUGACGAACGAGACCCAAUCAUGCGAGACCCCUACCGAAUUUGGCCUUCAUGACCCACAUGCGUCUUUGGAACGCGCAUGACGAGACCUCAGGUCAGGCGGGGCUACCCGCUGAGUUUAAGCAUAUCAAUAAGCGGAGGA
rnacentral:misc_RNA from 1 species